UUUAAAUUGAGAGUUUGAUCCUGGCUCAGGAUGAACGCUGGCGGCGUGCUUAACACAUGCAAGUCGAGCGAUGAAGUUUCCUUCGGGAAACGGAUUAGCGGCGGACGGGUGAGUAACACGUGGGUAACCUGCCUCAUAGAGUGGAAUAGCCUUCCGAAAGGAAGAUUAAUACCGCAUAAUGUUGAAAGAUGGCAUCAUCAUUCAACCAAAGGAGCAAUCUGCUAUGAGAUGGACCCGCGGCGCAUUAGCUAGUUGGUGGGGUAACGGCCUACCAAGGCGACGAUGCGUAGCCGACCUGAGAGGGUGAUCGGCCACAUUGGGACUGAGACACGGCCCAGACUCCUACGGGAGGCAGCAGUGGGGAAUAUUGCACAAUGGGGGAAACCCUGAUGCAGCAACGCCGCGUGAGUGAUGAAGGUUUUCGGAUCGUAAAGCUCUGUCUUUGGGGAAGAUAAUGACGGUACCCAAGGAGGAAGCCACGGCUAACUACG
rnacentral:rRNA from 1 species